ACCCUGGAAUGUAAUCUGGGCUUUCAUCACUCUGCAGCCGGAGCCGGGCAGGUCACCACCAGCCUGCGCUGGGCUGGGCUGCUGGUCACCAGGGAACUCUAGACUUCUGUCCAUAGCAGACUGCCAGGCCUAGAGCCCAGGGAGCCCAAGUAGCUGCCCCCAAGAGUGAAGUAAAGGGGUGGUGGGAAAUUCCCGUGCGGCUGCUGAUGAUGUCCUGUGCCAUUGAGGCCCUGCAUAGUCUGUUGGAAGGGAAAAAAUGAAAACGGGAAAGUAACCUUCAUCCUCCUCCCCUCACCCCUUUGAAUGCCAAGCAGAGGCCUCCUCCCAGCCCUGGAAGAAACCUUGGCUAUGUCCUUGUGCUGUGGCGUCGGAGAGAAAGAUGACCCGAGCCCAGUGGCUGCAUACCUAAGCUUCCAUGCUCUAGUGGCCACAUUAGAAAAAGUAAAAUGGAACAGGUAGAAUUAACUUUAAUAAUGUAUUGUGUUUAGCCCCAAGAUCUUUAAAACAUUAUCUCUUAAACACAUACAUUAAUACAAUAAUUUUUGAGAU